CUUCUUCUUCUCUCUCUGUCUUCACCAUUUGAACCUUCUCUUUCUUCUGUUCUUAUCUUCUCCUUCUCUAUCCCCCUCUUUCCCCCUUCACCAUUAGAAGCUUCUCUUCUCUCACCUUAUCUCUUCUCCAUUUCUGCAAAAUGAAGCUCCAUAAUGGAGGAGACAAGAACCUCUCAUGUUGCUUACACCCAAACAAACUGGUAGUUGGAGUUUGUUCUCUUUGUUUGAAGGAGAAACUCCUCAUAGUGGCUUCAAAGCAGGAGUAUAAUCAGUAUAGCUCUUUCAGAUUGCAGAAGAAGAAGAUCUCCACCGUUGCCAGAAAAAUUCCAAAGUUCCUUAAACUAAGCUCCUUCCCCAGCUUCUUCGAUCUCCACCGUCCAAAGCAAGAUGAUAAUUCUUCUUCUUCUUCUUCUUCUCAGAACUCCUCCAUUCUUAGCCUUCAAGCUUGAUGGUAGGAAGGGUAUGGUCGAGCAUGGAAAAGAGCUGAAAAUGCUGAGGUGGCGAAAGCUUAUUCGUUAUGUUUUCAAGCUGGCCCAGUGGUCGUGGCCCAGUAAAAAGGGUAGAAAGUGCCACGUAGGAGUGGGUGCCGAUGGGUGAAAACGAAGAGGUAUUGUAUAAGGACGCUAUAUACUUGUUCUUUGAGUAUUUUAUAUUUCAUUUUGCGUGUGUUAUAGUAAAAGAAGUAUUGUAUUGAGUGAGAAUUAACUUUUCUUCUAUUUGGAUGGUGCCAUAAAAAUUCUUGUUCUUCUAUAAUGCGAGCGGUGUUACGUGUUAGAAAAUUUACGACAGUAGCAUUGGAGAACUUUACAUACAAGUUUUAUUUGAAGAUUC